rnacentral:rRNA from 1 species
GAUGAACGCUAGCGACAGGCUUAACACAUGCAAGUCGAGGGGCAGCGGGGUAGUGCUUGCACUACUGCCGGCGACCGGCGCACGGGUGAGUAACACGUAUGGAACCUGCCCGCAGCAGGGGGAUAAGCGGAAGAAAUUCCGUCUAAUACCGCGUAAGAACGUUGGGAGGCAUCUCCCGAUGUUUAAAGAUUUAUCGGCUGCGGAUGGCCAUGCGGCGCAUUAGCUAGUCGGCGGGGUAACGGCCCACCGAGGCGACGAUGCGUAGGGGUUCUGAGAGGAAGGUCCCCCACACUGGUACUGAGACACGGACCAGACUCCUACGGGAGGCAGCAGUGAGGAAUAUUGGUCAAUGGCCGAGAGGCUGAACCAGCCAAGUCGCGUGAGGGAAGACGGCCCUACGGGUUGUAAACCUCUUUUGUCGGGGAGCAAAGCGAACCACGUGUGGUUCAUUGAGAGUACCCGAAGAAAAAGCAUCGGCUAACUCCGUGCCAGCAGCCGCGGUAAUACGGAGGAUGCGAGCGUUAUCCGGAUUUAUUGGGUUUAAAGGGUGCGCAGGCGGAGGUGCAAGUCAGCGGUCAAAUUGCGGGGCUCAACCCCGUACUGCCGUUGAAACUGCAUCCCUUGAGUGCGCGAGAAGUAUGCGGAAUGCGUGGUGUAGCGGUGAAAUGCAUAGAUAUCACGCAGAACUCCGAUUGCGAAGGCAGCAUACCGGCGCGCAACUGACGCUCAUGCACGAAAGCGUGGGUAUCGAACAGGAUUAGAUACCCUGGUAGUCCACGCAGUAAACGAUGAACACUAACUGUUCGGCCAGAAUGAUGGCUGAGUGGUACAGCGAAAGCGUUAAGUGUUCCACCUGGGGAGUACGCCGGCAACGGUGAAACUCAAAGGAAUUGACGGGGGCCCGCACAAGCGGAGGAACAUGUGGUUUAAUUCAAUGAUACGCGAGGAACCUUACCCGGGCUCAAACGACACAGGAAUACUUUUGAAAGGAGGUAGCCCUACGGGGUCUGUGUCGAGGUGCUGCAUGGUUGUCGUCAGCUCGUGCCGUGAGGUGUCGGCUUAAGUGCCAUAACGAGCGCAACCCCUAUCGCCAGUUACCAUCAAGUAAAGUUGGGGACUCUGGCGAGACUGCCGGCGCAAGCUGAGAGGAAGGCGGGGAUGACGUCAAAUCAGCACGGCCCUUACGUCCGGGGCGACACACGUGUUACAAUGGCAGGUACAGAGAGAAGCCAGGUGGUGACACCGAGCGGAACUCGAAAGCCUGUCUCAGUUCGGAUUGGAGUCUGCAACCCGACUCCGUGAAGCUGGAUUCGCUAGUAAUCGCGCAUCAGCCAUGGCGCGGUG